rnacentral:rRNA from 1 species
AUGGCUUUAGUACGUGAUCUUUGGUUGACAAGUAGUGUGGACACGAUGACAGGGCCAAUUUGGCCAUCUAUUGAGGCCGAAAAUUUUGAGUUGAGGCCUGGACUUAUUGCUCUCGUCUUGCAGAAUCAGUUUAGAGGAUUACCCAAUGAAGACCCUCAUGAGCACAUUAGUAAUGUUCUGGAGUAUGCCAAUACAGUCCAGUAUCAUGGCAUUUCCCAAGAUGCUAUCAAGUGUAUGUUGUUCACAUUCUCUCUCAGAGAUGCUGCUAAGGACUGGUACUAUUCCUUGCCAUCAAGAUCAUACACUUGGGGUGAUAUUUCACAAGCUUUCCUGCAUACAUAUUUUCCACUUUACAAGCAAGCUGCAAUCCGUGACCAUAUCCUCAGUUUUGCGCAAGAUGGUAGUGAGAGCUUGUAUGCAGCUUGGGAGAGAUAUAAGUAUUUGCUUAGAAAUGUCCUAAUCAUGGGCAAAAGGAUUGGUUAG